rnacentral:piRNA from 1 species
UAAUACUGGAAGUGCUCCAGAGGGUGUGU